rnacentral:rRNA from 1 species
CCCAGACUCCUACGGGAGGCAGCAGUGGGGGAUAUUGCACAAUGGGGGGAACCCUGAUGCAGCGACGCCGCGUGGGUGAAGGAGCGUUUCGGCGCGUAAAGCCCUAUCGGCAGGGAAGAAGGAGGACGGUACCUGACUAAGAAGCCCCGGCUAACUACGUGCCAGCAGCCGCGGUAAUACGUAGGGGGCAAGCGUUAUCCGGAUUUACUGGGUGUAAAGGGGGGGCAGACGGCAGCGCAAGCCAGGAGUGAAAGCCCGGGGCCCAACCCCGGGACUGCUCUUGGAACUGCGCGGCUGGAGUGCAGGAGGGGCAGGCGGAAUUCCUGGUGUAGCGGUGAAAUGCGUAGAUAUCAGGAGGAACACCGGUGGCGAAGGCGGCCUGCUGGACUGCGACUGACGUUGAGGCCCGAAAGCGUGGGGAGCAAACAGGAUUAGAUACCCCGGUAC